AUUUAAGUGUGCAUCCACACACUGUAGUAAUCUGUUUGAAUCCUGUCUUACAAAUAUCUCUUUUCAAGUCAAUAUAGUUGUACAGGACUUGAUUCUGCAGAUGCUUCUUUCAGGGAAUUUGUCUGAAACAGCUGAACAGCCUGAGUACAAAGGUCAAGAGUAAGAUUUCUUGUCACAUGUCUAGUAUGUGGACAGCCAACACUUGCGAUGAAAAAGCCCCACUUGUCUGCUGUUUGGAAAAGUGAAGAUGGGUCAAUUUCUCUGCAACGUGGGAUUCGACUAUUUCACAGCACCUUCCUGUCCCAGGAAAAUAUUAAAGAGGAGUCAUUAAUAUGUGGUGGAAAAAAUCCAUCCUUGGCUCACCCGAGUCAGCACUAAAGAGGAAAGCCAGCCAAAGAGAAAGAGCUGAGGAAAGGAAGCCAAAGAGUAACGGCUUAGUUCUGAGGGUAUGAAUUCCUGCCUAUCUCCAAGCCUGCAAUUCUGGUACUGAUUCUCAAUAUACUCUUUCUGCAGUAAAAAUAGACCACAG
rnacentral:lncRNA from 1 species